GGACACAAUGGUUAAUUCUGUUGGGGAGAGUGGUGUAGUUACACAAUCAACCAGACAACAUCAAAUGGAAAGUCUUCAACAAAGACUUUCUUAUUAUGGAACAGGAUGCAGCAUUCCAAAGAGCUUUGGAAACUGACAGACAGAAGCCUCAGAGAGAGAGAGAGGCCCACCGCAUUGCUAAAUGUAUAGAGGAGGCAGAGAAGAGGCGUGUCGAUAUUGUGAAUCAGAGGAUGGCUGAGGCAGAAAUGGCUUCUGAAACAGGUGGAACUUCCUUUUAGUUCCGUUAUUCUGAUGGAAGUUAUCGUAGGAGGGAUUUCCAUCUUGACAGCCCUAUGCAGGUAUGUGGAAUAGUCCAAUGACAUAAUUUACCUAUGAAGUCUUAAUGAAUUAAAUGUAACAGAAGCCCCUUUACACAUGCACAGUUUA